rnacentral:rRNA from 1 species
GACGAACGCUGGCGGCGCGCCUAACACAUGCAAGUCGAACGGAGCUGAGAGGAGCUUGCUUUUCUUAGCUUAGUGGCGAACGGGUGAGUAACGCGUGAGUAACCUGCCCUGGAGUGGGGGACAACAGUUGGAAACGACUGCUAAUACCGCAUAAGCCCACGGUGCCGCAUGGUACUGAGGGAAAAGGAUUUAUUCGCUCUAGGAUGGACUCGUGUCCAAUUAGUUAGUUGGUGAGGUAACGGCCCACCAAGGCGACGAUUGGUAGCCGGACUGAGAGGUUGAACGGCCACAUUGGGACUGAGACACGGCCCAGACUCCUACGGGAGGCAGCAGUGGGGGAUAUUGCACAAUGGGGGAAACCCUGAUGCAGCGACGCCGCGUGGAGGAAGAAGGUUUUCGGAUUGUAAACUCCUGUCGUUAGGGACGAUAAUGACGGUACCUAACAAGAAAGCACCGGCUAACUACGUGCCAGCCGCCGCGGUAA